GCCUCCGAGCGGUGGGGGGGCGGACGGGCUGAGUGGGGUGCCACGGCCUCCCAGUGGGUCUACCAGGCCACUGAGCUGAGAUGGCCUUUGUCGGUCGGAGCCACGGCACGGGGCGGGGGGCGGGGUGGGGUGGUGACUAGCUCUGUCUGCCCACCACACCGGGAACUCCUGGAGGGCACGGCCGCCAAGAACUUACAGGAGCAGGUGGGGACGCACGCCCUCCACUCCGCCCCAUUUGGGAUGAGUCCUCUGCCUGCAGAAGGACACGGAAAGGAAAGAAAGCUCCUGGAGGACAGGGCAGCCUUGUUAGUGUUUCCAUGUCACCACGGCGGAAUCUGAGGCCCAGGAGACUUGACAGGGCUCCCAGACCCAGAAAAAGGGAGCCAGAACAAGAGAUCCCAGAACACGGGAAAGACGGCUGUGGCUGAAGUCGUAUCUGGGUUAAAACCCCAGGAGUGCUCCUCUUUAAUUUUUUGGUACAGCAGGAUCAAGGAAUCGAUUCACUCUGGUUAUGCUUCCUCCCAUUGUUUCUGUGGGCCGUGUUUGAUCUGUGUUUCACGUGUAGAUCUGCUAUCCACGCUCUGAAAGAAAUAAUAUAUUCUGCGUUGCACUGGGUCAGGCUCAACCAUGAAAGCCCCUUUUAUUUUAUUUUUUUUUAUUUUUUGGAUGAUUUCAAAGACACACACACACGCACACAUACACACGAGCACACAGGCGUAUAUACAUGCGCG
rnacentral:lncRNA from 12 species